rnacentral:rRNA from 1 species
UUAAGCGACUAAGCGUACACGGUGGAUGCCCUGGCAGUCAGAGGCGAUGAAGGACGUGCUAAUCUGCGAAAAGCGUCGGUAAGGUGAUAUGAACCGUUAUAGCCGGCGAUGUCCGAAUGGGGAAACCCAGUGCAAUUCGUUGCACUAUCGUUAACUGAAUACAUAGGUUAACGAGGCGAACCGGGGGAACUGAAACAUCUAAGUACCCCGAGGAAAAGAAAUCAACCGAGAUUCCCCCAGUAGCGGCGAGCGAACGGGGAGCAGCCCAGAGUCUGAAUCAGCUUGUGUGUUAGUGGAACGGUCUGGAAAGUCCGACGGUACAGGGUGAUAGUCCCGUACACCAAAAUGCACAGGCUGUGAACUCGAAGAGUAGGGCGGGACACGUGGUAUCCUGUCUGAAUAUGGGGGGACCAUCCUCCAAGGCUAAAUACUCCUGACUGACCGAUAGUGAACCAGUACCGUGAGGGAAAGGCGAAAAGAACCCCGGCGAGGGGAGUGAAAAAGAACCUGAAACCGUGUACGUACAAGCAGUGGGAGCACCUUCGGGUGUGACUGCGUACCUUUUGUAUAAUGGGUCAGCGACUUAUAUUCUGUAGCAAGGUUAACCGUAUAGGGGAGCCGCAGGGAAACCGAGUCUUAACUGGGCGUUAAGUUGCAGGGUAUAGACCCGAAACCCGGUGAUCUAGCCAUGGGCAGGUUGAAGGUUGGGUAACACUAACUGGAGGACCGAACCGACUAAUGUUGAAAAAUUAGCGGAUGACUUGUGGCUGGGGGUGAAAGGCCAAUCAAACCGGGAGAUAGCUGGUUCUCCCCGAAAGCUAUUUAGGUAGCGCCUCGUGAACUCAUCUUCGGGGGUAGAGCACUGUUUCGGCUAGGGGGUCAUCCCGACUUACCAACCCGAUGCAAACUACGAAUACCGAAGAAUGUUAUCACGGGAGACACACGGCGGGUGCUAACGUCCGUCGUGAAGAGGGAAACAACCCAGACCGCCAGCUAAGGUCCCAAAGUCAUGGUUAAGUGGGAAACGAUGUGGGAAGGCACAGACAGCCAGGAUGUUGGCUUAGAAGCAGCCAUCAUUUAAAGAAAGCGUAAUAGCUCACUGGUCGAGUCGGCCUGCGCGGAAGAUGUAACGGGGCUAAACCAUGCACCGAAGCUGCGGCAGCGACACUAUGUGUUGUUGGGUAGGGGAGCGUUCUGUAAGCCUGCGAAGGUGACCUGUGAGGGUUGCUGGAGGUAUCAGAAGUGCGAAUGCUGACAUAAGUAACGAUAAAGCGGGUGAAAAGCCCGCUCGCCGGAAGACCAAGGGUUCCUGUCCAACGUUAAUCGGGGCAGGGUGAGUCGACCCCUAAGGCGAGGCCGAAAGGCGUAGUCGAUGGGAAACAGGUUAAUAUUCCUGUACUUGGUGUUACUGCGAAGGGGGGACGGAGAAGGCUAUGUUAGCCGGGCGACGGUUGUCCCGGUUUAAGCAUGUAGGCUGGUUAUCCAGGCAAAUCCGGAUAAUCAAGGCUGAGGUGUGAUGACGAGGCACUACGGUGCUGAAGUAACAAAUGCCCUGCUUCCAGGAAAAGCCUCUAAGCAUCAGGUAACAUCAAAUCGUACCCCAAACCGACACAGGUGGUCAGGUAGAGAAUACCAAGGCGCUUGAGAGAACUCGGGUGAAGGAACUAGGCAAAAUGGUGCCGUAACUUCGGGAGAAGGCACGCUGGUGUGUAGGUGAAGUCCCUGCGGAUGGAGCUGAGACCAGUCGAAGAUACCAGCUGGCUGCAACUGUUUAUUAAAAACACAGCACUGUGCAAACACGAAAGUGGACGUAUACGGUGUGACGCCUGCCCGGUGCCGGAAGGUUAAUUGAUGGGGUUAUCCGUAAGGAGAAGCUCUUGAUCGAAGCCCCGGUAAACGGCGGCCGUAACUAUAACGGUCCUAAGGUAGCGAAAUUCCUUGUCGGGUAAGUUCCGACCUGCACGAAUGGCGUAAUGAUGGCCAGGCUGUCUCCACCCGAGACUCAGUGAAAUUGAACUCGCUGUGAAGAUGCAGUGUACCCGCGGCAAGACGGAAAGACCCCGUGAACCUUUACUAUAGCUUGACACUGAACAUUGAGCCUUGAUGUGUAGGAUAGGUGGGAGGCUUUGAAGCGUGGACGCCAGUCUGCGUGGAGCCAACCUUGAAAUACCACCCUUUAAUGUUUGAUGUUCUAACGUUGGCCCCUUACCGGGGUUGCGGACAGUGUCUGGUGGGUAGUUUGACUGGGGCGGUCUCCUCCCAAAGCGUAACGGAGGAGCACGAAGGUUAGCUAAUCCUGGUCGGACAUCAGGAGGUUAGUGCAAUGGCAUAAGCUAGCUUGACUGCGAGCGUGACGGCGCGAGCAGGUGCGAAAGCAGGUCAUAGUGAUCCGGUGGUUCUGAAUGGAAGGGCCAUCGCUCAACGGAUAAAAGGUACUCCGGGGAUAACAGGCUGAUACCGCCCAAGAGUUCAUAUCGACGGCGGUGUUUGGCACCUCGAUGUCGGCUCAUCACAUCCUGGGGCUGAAGUAGGUCCCAAGGGUAUGGCUGUUCGCCAUUUAAAGUGGUACGCGAGCUGGGUUUAGAACGUCGUGAGACAGUUCGGUCCCUAUCUGCCGUGGGCGCUGGAGAAUUGAGGGGGGCUGCUCCUAGUACGAGAGGACCGGAGUGGACGCAUCACUGGUGUUCGGGUUGUCAUGCCAAUGGCACUGCCCGGUAGCUAAAUGCGGAAGAGAUAAGUGCUGAAAGCAUCUAAGCACGAAACUUGCCCCGAGAUGAGUUCUCCCUGAGACUUUAAGUCUCCUGAAGGAACGUUGAAGACGAUGACGUUGAUAGGCCGGGUGUGUAAGCGCAGCGAUGCGUUGAGCUAACCGGUACUAAUGAACCGUGAGGCUUAACCUU